rnacentral:misc_RNA from 1 species
AAGUCGUAACAAGGUAACCGUAGGUGAACCUGCGGUUGGAUCAUUACAAAAAAGGAAGUACCCUUCGGCCCGUCGAUUGACAUUCACUUACCGAACCCAAUCCAUGACGUGGCAUUAAAUUGCCCUGAGGGGGAACCUAAGUUAACCUUAUGUGAACUGACCUGUCUCUGGCGGGAGGUAGUGAAAGCUACUUGUCAGCAUUGCAUUUUUGCAGUGCCGUGGACAACCCGUCAACCCCUUUCUAAAGCAUUUGUUUAUUUUAUUCUGUCUGACAUUACUUGUAUUUAAUUACAAAACAACUUUUGGCAACGGAUCUCUUGGCUCUC